GGCCACUUGGUGAAAUUGGCAGACACGCAAGACUUAGGAUCUUGUGCCGCAAGGCGUCGGGGUUCAACUCCCCGAGUGGCCA
rnacentral:tRNA from 1 species